UAGGGAAUCUUCCACAAUGGGCGAAAGCCUGAUGGAGCAACGCCGCGUGGGUGAAGAAGGUCUUCGGAUCGUAAAACCCUGUUGUUAGAGAAGAAAGUGCGUGAGAGUAACUGUUCACGUUUCGACGGUAUCUAACCAGAAAGCCNCGGCUAACUACGUGCCAGCAGCCGCGGUAAUACGUAGGUGGCAAGCGUUAUCCGGAUUUAUUGGGCGUAAAGGGAACGCAAGCGGUCUUUUAAGUCUGAUGUGAAAGCCUUCGGCUUAACCGGAGUAGUGCAUUGGAAACUGGGAGACUUGAGUACAGAAGAGGAGAGUGGAACUCCAUGUGUAGCGGUGAAAUGCGUAGAUAUAUGGAAGAACACCAGUGGCGAAAGCGGCUCUCUGGUCUGUAACUGACGCUGAGGUUCGAAAGCGUGGGUAGCAAACAGGAU
rnacentral:rRNA from 1 species